GAUGUUCCUAAACAGAUGGCUGAGCAAACCCAGACUCCAGGCUUUAGUGCUGAGUUUUACUGUGUGGACCUUGGGAUGUUUCUGAACUCAUUUCUUUGAGAAAUGAGGGAAGUCCCAGAGGUGGUUGUGCUGUGAGCAGUUCUGCUGGCUGUUCUCCUUUGCUAAAGCAUCAGCCUAUCAGAGAGCUUCAAUUUUCUGCUUAUUUAUCUCUGUGGUGUUCUGAUGACUUGUUAAAAGAAUGAGAUCUGACUAACUUGUCCAAAGUCACACAAGAAACUGCUGGCAGCAGAGAGAAUUGAUGAAUUGUUGGCAUGGCAGGCCAAAAACCCACUUGGGCAAGAUUCAAACUAACAUCCAGGCCAGCAGCUUCAAAUGCUCUCAUUCACAAGUGUUCAGUCAGAAAUCUCUCUUCUGAGUUUGGUGGCUCCAACAUCAAAGGUACAGCAUUUUUCAUUGCAUGACCACACUGACAUCACCACUGCAAAGCCUGAUGUUGGAUGGAAUGAGCAAAUCCUGCCAGUUUUCACUGUCUGAAUUUGGCAGCAUGCAGAGGUUGUGUGAUGAGCUCUACCGAAGGUGAGGUGAUGUUGGACAGAUGUGACAACCCCUCUGUCAUAUGUGGCACUCAAUAACCUGACCUCUGGGCCAGAGGGCAACACUGAGACUGUCUGGGAGUCCAUCACUAAAUGGUUGUUUGGUAGCACCUCCACUGUAGUGUCAGUGCCAGUGUGCAGCGGGAGGGGAUCUCAUCUCUGAACAAUGCUGGAGUGGGAGGUGGGAGUCAGCACUCUUCUUCCAGCAGAUACCAUCCAACCUUAACCUCCACCAUCCAGAUUUGCAGGAGAGGCUGAGCCUGCUCACCCACACCAAAAUGCUUUUGACAUUUGGAGAUCUUCAGGAGUGGGUUGCUCUGGCCAGCUUGCUGUUGUGUACCAUGGCUGUUGCAAGACUCAAAGAGACACUUUUUGUCCAGAUGCCAGGAUUAAAAAAAACCCAACUCCAAACUUUGAAGAAUGUGGUGUGCCAGGCAAUGCCGCUCAGUUAUGAGGCAGAGAAAAGUGUAAAGCUGAUGGCUACGUGUGAAGCCAAACAAAAGUGAAUUGGAAAUGAAUCACAUUUUUAAAUUAAUGUGAACUUCGAAAUUCAAGUAAUUUGAUGAGUCUCCAACUACUGAUGCAUUCAUAUUCCCAUAUAUUGGUAUGUCCGGAGCUGGAUGUUUUUCUGGAAGAUGCAGCAAAGCUACUGGGCUCGGUACUGGGCUAAUUGACUGCAACUGAAUGGCUUUGAAAUAUAGGAAGUCAUACCAGAUGUUUUCAUAGUUCCUUCUGGUCUUAAAUCCUGUGAUUCUAUGAAUGAAUUUCUGAAUCUGAGAAAUCUGAGUUCCGGAGAAUACAAACAUAUGAGUAGAGUUAUACUUCUGGCCUCCACAUCAGAAGAAAGAUACCGAAUGUGCAUUGUUGUGAUAAAUCAAAGAAGCAGCUAAACCAGAGCUGUAAUAAAAGUCAACUGCAGAUCUUUGUGCAGAAACUGGUCAUAUGUCAUGUGAGGACAAGGUUCGGAGAUGAGAUUUCUCAACAUCUGAAAUGACUUCUUCUGGAAGCAGCCCCUUCCAAGCACUGUGGUGGAGAUCCUCCUCCAGACUUGGUCUUCUGUGCCACACAGGAGCUUGUUUGACAAGUGACGAUCAGUGAGGCACUGAAUGCUGCUGACCACAGUGUAAUUGAGAUGAGCAUCCCUGCCACGAAAACCAGCAGUGAGGCAUUCAAGUCGAGAGAAAGGGUUUUGUUUUGCUGGGCUUCCUUAAGGGGAAGCAUGUCAAAACUGAGGAAACUGAAAUCCACAGUCAGCAAGAAAGCUUACUCAGCCAUGGUCUAAGCACAGUCACACCAACCAUGUAUCCACCCACUCCCCUGCUCAGAAAAAGGAAGAAGUGCAGCAACAACAACAAAAAAAUCUCAGAAUUAUGAUACUUCUGUGUCAUUUAAUAACACAUCUAAGCAAUCUGAUACAUUCUGGGAGGAAAUCCACUGUACACGCUAUAACUGAAUUCACAUGACGUGAGUGUAUCACCACUGAAAUGCCUUCUUGCCAGGCUCUGAGCAUCUCCAGUUUCCUGCUCUCAUCUCUCUUUGCUGUGCCUCUGGCUCUAGCUGGAGAAGGCAUCAGAGUGGGCAGGACCCACCUGGGACCCAACAUGUCUCAUCAGCACAACUUGGGGUGGUUCCUAAGUUGCGUGGUUGAUCACUGUGAUGUAAAUCUCCCUCCUUCAUGCACAGAGGAUUCUGGACCCUUGCACCAUGGGCCCAUUGCUUUAAAGAAAACCUUUGAGAAGCAGACACUUGGUUUGAAUGAAACCAAAAAAGAGCGUGCGCUGCCAAAAUUCUCCAGUGAAGCACCCUUAUUAUAUAAUACCAGGCUACAUGUGUUGUGCAAAGUGCUGUCUGUCAUUUGCAGAGGGCCCUCGAUGCUCUAACGUCACCACCAAUGUCACGCAACACUGAGUGAAGCAAUGAGCACGGCAAUGUCACCAGGAAAUACAUAAUGCCAAUGACAGUGGAACUAAUGCAGAGGCGAUUAUCCUUACAUUAUUCAGCACUUCCAAUUGCUCUCUGUUUUAAGUGGCCAUAUGAUGUAAUAAUAUAUAAAUACUGUAAUGAAGAGUUUAUUUAUAGCCAUCCUCAGUGUUACUGGUGAAAGUAUUAAUGCAUUUUUCCCACGCUAUGUUCAUUGACCGCAGCUGUGCAACCCAUUUUCAAAGGACUGUGUCAAAAGAGUGUUUAAGCCAUUCCUCAGUCAGAGGAACAGGUGAACAGUUAAUGCAGCAAAGGAAGUAGUCAGCUUUAAAUAUGGGAAUGAAAAAACCUAAAGAGAAAGUGAAGAAGUGUGGGUGAAGAGAGGACAUGCCUCAAAUGGAAAAAGAGGGUUAAAGUGUCUCUAAAGCUGGCAAUUACUUUCCAGCCUGGGGAGCAAUGGAAUCCAUGGAGAAAAAACUUGCACCUAGCUCUCAGUUAAGACAUGAGAACUGAUGGAUGGAGCAGGGGAAGUGAUCAGAUCUUGGACCAAAAGCAGCUUCAGGUCUUACAAAUAUGGAGUGAUGCCAUUCACACUGCCAGAGUUGCUCUCAAUUGCAGUGUUUGCCUUAAUUGAGCUUGCAUUCCUGUAUAAUCCUUCACAUCCUUUAACUUUCCAAACCACCCUGGAGCCACCAGUAGCUUCCAGAUGUUUUUUCCUCCUCCCUGAGGAUGGUAUAGAGAGAAAAACAGCAAGUCUUGAAGGUGCAGGGUUUCAGAAGGACUAUGUGGCUCUUGCAGAGACACACAACUCUCCCAUUCCUACGCUCCAUCUGCAAAGAGACUUCCCUUUCACUGUAAACACAGUAAAAAUGGGAAAAAGCGGAAAGAAAAAUUUUUACUUGUGGGAGAAAUGUGUGAUCUCAUCACUGUGAAGUGUGGAUUUUUUGGUGUGUGUAGGAGAAUCCACAAUUACCUGGAGAGACAAAGUGGUGGAGAUGGGGCUUCUGGCUCUCUGGCCUGCUUUCCUCCUGUGCUGCACCAGGUCCUGACCCCCUCCUAAGCCCCUCCUGUUACUGCAGCUCCAUUGCUGACCUAGGAAGAGAUGCUUUUCAGAAAUUCACCUGCUACCUGCAUUUCCCUAUUUAGGAAGGAGCUUUCCCUGUCUUUGACAUGGCUCAUCAUUCCUUGCAGGGUGUACCAUGUAUUUCCUUUAAAGGCUCUUUAAGUGUUGAAAACAGGCCUGGGCUUGUAGAGAAAAUGUCAAAAUUUCUUCAUCCAGAUUAGGACUUCCUCAUUCAUCUUUCUUAAAAUUUGCCAUUCCCGGAGCACGAAAAUCCUGUGUAUGCAUGUGGGCUUUGAGUGUGAAGCAGAGCAAGAAAUGGGGCAAGAAACGGAGUGACAGCAGGAGGGGAUGUAUCUUCCUCCACUGCAUUGGCGUGCUGCCAGCAAGCGCAAGAAUCUGCCUUUUUUUCCCUGUUUCACAACAGAGCUGCGCUGUAAACAGCAUUCAUCACACAGGGAGUUCCACUUAGAAAUGGGUGAAUGUUAGAAAAAUACUAUUUACAAGUCCUCCCUCAAAUAAAAACCGUGAGUUUAUUUUGGCACCGGCAGCGAUUCUCCUAGUGAUUGCUUCUGGCAAGUGCUCAGGCAGGUACAACAACACUUGCUGAAAUAUUCAGAGGAUGUGUUAAGAUAUUUGUGUAAAUAUGAACUGUGGGACAAACUCUUGUGCAAAUCCAUGCAGUGAGGGGUUUGCAUAACUGGUUCUGAUUGCUCCUUGUGGGUUCCAGACUCCUUGAAUCAAAGUGGAGAAGUUCUGCCACAUGACAGAAGUAAACAGGGACACACGCAGAAACUCACCAAGAAAAGUACAAAUGAAAAUUAUCCAAAAAAAGGCAACAACAAAUAGUUGAAUUGCAGUCAGGCUGCAUAGUUUACAAGCAGCCCAAAGACUGAGAAACAGCUAGAGACACCAUUCACGUAAUAACGGCGUGUCAAACACAUCUGUAAAGUUCCUACAGUUCAUCUGUAGCAUUUGCAAACAGCGGCCUAAGUUCAACUGGAUUUACUUGGAGCAGUUCAUGAGAUUAAAAUCAAGAGAGCAUGCAAAUAUCUUACUGGAACAGCGCCAGGAGACAGGACUACAAUUGCAUGGUUAAUUGAAUUUGGCAAGCCGUCGCCCAGCUAUAUUUCCUCCGGGAUUGACAUGUGUAGUGGAUUGACUGACACUGGAAGAAUUAAGGAAGAAAAAGGAAGAGCUGACCCUGUGGGCUCACCAAGGUGGGCAGAUGGGCUAAUGUUUAAUAGGUGGCACCUACAAGCAGACAUCCAAGGCUGAUGUCACCUCAAACUGUCCCCCAUCUUCCAAACACUUCUCUUGAUGCAGACGGAGACUUAACCAUAUGCUGGCUGUAACUGGUGUGUCCACAUGUGAAAGCAAUUGCAGGGCUGGAAGGGCUCGGAUUCUGUUUUGUUUGCGUUGUUCAUUAUCUACAAAUGUAAUUACCAAGGGAUAAAUUAAAUUAGGUUGUAGCAUUAUUUUGAACAUCUUUUCUGGUUUGCUUUACUUCAGAUUUUCUGAGAGGCCAGUGUUUAUAGUUAAAAGUACAACUUGGCAGAAGUACAAUCAGGAGUGAGCAACACAUACCACAAACAAAACCAUUAAGACCAUUUAGAAAAUUUUUGCAAAAGACAAUCAAGUGUUACGGGACUAAUUUCCCACUUGGUCACCAUGAUUUUAUGUCAACAUUAACACCAUUGACUUCAGCUGAGCCCUACAGGCACAAAGCUUGUGUGAUGGGGUGGGAAACUGGCCCAGUUUAGGAUUAUGUAUAUCGUAUUAUUUAAAAGGCAAAGAAACAAAUCCCAGGAGUGUGUAAGUAUGCUGAAGUCUCUGAAUGUAGGCUUUUCCCGCUGAAAUCAAAACCAGAGCAUCUGUGUACUGGGAGGAGUGGAAUCAGGUGUCCUCUACCUGCCAUUGGCAAGGCAUGGCCAUCAACAAUGCACUUUUUGGGGCUGGAUGUAGAGUGCAGGACAGGAUGGAUGCUCUGGAAAAUAGAGAGAUGACUAAAGAAAAAGGUGUGUCUUCCUCCCUAAGAAUCUCCUCCCCCAGUCCUAAAUACCUUCUUAUUUCUCAUUACUUCAUUCACUAGGAUCUAUUUUUAAUGCUUCUCAAAAUAGUAAUAUUUUUUUCCCAUAUGUGUAUGAAUAUAGAGAUACGUAAACCCAAAGAAAGGCAGGAGGUGUGUUCUACCUGGUUGAUCGUUGUUUUGGGUUUUUUUCAUUUUAAGCCUUUGGAAGUGCAAUUAUAUUAGACAUGCUGGGCUGGCCACUAGGAUGAGUAAAACAGUUUGGAAGAAGAAAAGAUUUGUGAAUAUUUCAGGAUAAUUACUAACAGUUAGUCCCAGACCCAGAAAAAAGAUCUUAAAAAGAAAAAAAAAAAAAAAAGCAAAGAAAAAGAGAAAAAAAGAGUUUCGCCUGUUACUGAUUUCCUUUUUGGUUUCAGGGGCCAUUGUUUGUUUUAAUGACCGGAAAAGAGAGCUGUCAGAAGAUAUUUGCAUAGUGCAAAUAGGGUCACAAAUCAGAGGGGCUCUGGAGAUCAUGUAGCAGUGGGCCGGCACCCAUCGGUGUGCAGCUAUGAGAACGAGGUUGUUUUCUGUAGUAAUGGGGAAAAGCUGAUAGUUUUUCCACAUGCAGUUGAGGGCUCAAGCAGUUUUGGGGAAGAAAAGCUUCCCGCUUGCAGCAGGGUCUGCUGGGCUCUCAUGAAGGCGUUGCUGUUUGUUUAUUUUCUUAGCUGUGUGCUUAAGAUGCAUUCUUUGAAAAUUUAGCUGAUGGGUCUGUUUGUAUAGACUGCACUGCUGGUGAGUUAGACCAGGGGUUUGUGUUCAUUUGGGAAAAGAGAAAGAAUCCUGGCCAUCAGAAAUGUUUACUAUAUCAGGAAAUGAAUUCACUACUUGAGGGUUCCAGUGGAUAUAAAACAAAAAUUAAAACAAGAGCCUUGUAUAAACCCACUUGGUAUUGUCUCCUCCAUAAACAACCCCAUACGUGACAAAGCUCGGAGUGAGUGAGAGAGGUAGUUUUAUUGGGGCAUGUGGAAGCGAGUUAAUUGCUGUCGUUUUUUGAUUUUUUUUGCACAUGUUGGUGAGUUUGAAGUGAAAUCUGGUUGUCUUUUCUUUCUCCCAUUCCAGGGAGAGCUGAGACUUUGCUGAGAAAUAACACUAGGCAAAAUGACUUCAAGCUGUCACCAUUACACAACCUAAACUUUAUUUCUUCAUUAAUGCAUUACAGAGCAAAAAAACAAUGAGAGCAUUCCUCUGGAAUGUGUAUUUACUGAGCACAAAAUGAUAUGUUUACUGAAAUAGCAGUUGCUGCCGGGUUACCCAGUGGGAGAGAGCUCUCUCUUACCACACAGGUCCGAGAUCCCGGUGCUGCUCUGCUCCACGGCCUUCGACGCCAGUGAUUCCCCCCUUGCCAAGAGAGUCCUGUGGGAAAAAAGGCCCAGCAUCAUCCAGGGGCACCUUUCUGGUGGUUCCCACAAGCCCUGGAGGAAAGGGGAAAAAGGAGAGGGAUUUCAAGGCAUCCCUUUCUGGAAAGAGCAUGAGUCAGAGGAGAAGGGGGUAAACCCAGGAUUUCAGGGGGGGUGUCAGCGCUUCUCUUGCUGUGGGAGUGGGAGAAAUGCUUGGGGAAGAGGACAGGUGCUGGUGCCAUGUGAAUGAAGACUCCCUCCCCAAAGAGUGGGCAGAGGUGGUGGCUGGGGAGUGA